rnacentral:rRNA from 1 species
UUGGCCUAGGGGCGCAGCAGUAGGGAAUCUUCGUCAAUGGGCGCAAGCCUGAACGAGCAAUGCCGCGUGAACGAGGAAGGUCUUCGGAUCGUAAAGUUCUGUUGAAGGGGAAAAAGAGCGGAGAGAGGAAAUGAACUCCGAUUGAUAUUACCCUUCGAGGAAGUCACGGCUAACUACGUGCCAGCAGCCGCGGUAAUACGUAGGUGGCGAGCGUUAUCCGGAAUGAUUGGGCGUAAAGGGUGCGUAGGCGGCCUGCUAAGUCUGGAGUGAAAGGUACCGGCUCAACCGGUACAGGCUCUGGCAAC